UAUAAAUAUAGCUUAAAUUAAAGCAAUGGUUUUGUAAAUCAUCAAUGUAUAGUACUAUUUAUAU
rnacentral:tRNA from 1 species